AUUGAACGCUGGCGGCAGGCCUAACACAUGCAAGUCGAACGAGUGGCGGACGGGUGAGUAAUGUCUGGGAAACUUCCCGAUGGAGGGGGGUAACUACUGGAAACGGUUGCUAAUACCGCAUACUAUCGGAUUUUCCCAGAUGGGAUUAGCUUGUAGGUGAGGUAACUGCUUACCUAGGCGACGAUCCCUCGCUGGGCUGAGCGGAUGACCAGCAACAUGGGAACGGAGACACGGUCCAAACUCCUACGGGGGGCAGCAGUGGGGAAUAUUGGACAAGGGGCGAAAGCCUGAUGCAGCCAUGCCGGGUGGAUGAAGAGGGCCUUCGGGUUGUAAAGUACUUUCAUCGGGGAGGCGGUACCCGCAGAAUAAGCACCGGCUAACUUCGUGCCAGCAGCCGCGGUAAUAC
rnacentral:rRNA from 1 species